GAUGAACGCUGGCGGCGUGCCUAACACAUGCAAGUCGAGCGGAAAGACGAGGAGCUUGUUCCGUUGACGUUAGCGGCGGGCGGGAGAGUAACGCGUGGAUCAUCUACUUAUAUGUCUGGGAUAACUACGGGACACCGGAGAUAAUACCGGAUGAUAUAUUGCACCGCAUGGGUCAAUAGUGAAUGACGGUUUUGCUGUCUGUUUUAGAUGGUUCCGCGCCGCAUUAGCUAGUUGGUAAGGUAACGGCUUACCAAGGCGACGAUGCGUAGCCGAGCUGAGAGGGUGAUCGGCCACACUGGAACUGAGACACGGUCCAGACUCCUACGGGAGGCAGCAGUAGGGAAUCUUCCGCAAUGGGCGAAAGCCUGACGCAGCAACGCCGCGUGAGUGAAGAAGGCCUUCGGAUCGUAAAGCUCUGUUAUUAGGGAAGAACAAAUGUGGAAGUAACCAAAGACGUCUUGACGGUACCUAAUCAAAAAGCCCCGGCUAACUACGUG
rnacentral:rRNA from 1 species